AGAGUUUGAUCAUGGCUCAGGAUAAACGCUGGCGGCGUGCCUAACACAUGCAAGUCGAACGAUUCCCGCCAAGGGAGAGUGGCGGAAGGGUGAGUAACACGUGGGAAUCUACCUCCUCGCAGGGGAACAACCUCUCGAAAGAGAGGCUAAUACCCAAAGGGUCAGAAAUGAUCAGAGUCGAAAGGCGUGAGGGAGAGGAAGCCCGCGGCCCAUCAGCUAGUUGGUGAGGUAAUGGCUUACCAAGGCUACGACGGUAGGGGAUCUGAGAGGAUGUCCCCACACUGGAACUGAAACACGGUCCAGACGCCUACGGGUGGCAGCAGUGAGGAAUAUUGGACAAUGGGCGAAAGCCCGAUCCAGCAACGCCGCGUGGAGGAUGAAGGCCUUCGGGUCGUAAACUUCUUUAGAGGGAGACGAGAAAGGACGGUAUCCCUAGAAUAAGCGACGGCAAACUACGUG
rnacentral:rRNA from 1 species